GAUGAACGCUGGCGGCGUGCCUAAUACAUGCAAGUCGAGCGAACGGACGAGAAGCUUCCUUCUCUGAUGUUAGCGGCGGACGGGUGAGUAACACGUGGAUAACCUACCUAUAAGACUGGGAUAACUUCGGGAAACCGGAGCUAAUACCGGACAAUAUUUUGAACCGCAUGGUUCAAAAGUGAAAGACGGUCUUGCUGUCACUUAUAGAUGGAUCCGCGCUGCAUUAGCUAGUUGGUAAGGUAACGGCUUACCAAGGCAACGAUGCAUAGCCGACCUGAGAGGGUGAUCGCCCACACUGGAACUGGGACACGGUCCAGAGUCCUACGGGAGGCAGCAGUAGUGAAUCUUCCGCAAUGGGCGAAAGCCUGACGGAGCAACGCCGCGUGAGUGAUGAAGAUCUUCGGAUCGUAAAACUCUGUUAUUAGGGGAGAACAUAUGUGUAAGUAACAGUGCACAUCUUGACGGUACCUAAUCAGAAAGCCACGGCUAACUACGUG
rnacentral:rRNA from 1 species